rnacentral:misc_RNA from 1 species
UCGGAUCGUUUUAGAAACAUCAGUGGCCAACAGAUCGCCAGAUCGUUGAGCUGCAUUGGCGGGAUUUCGCCGUCUUCGUUUCUCUUUCUUCGCGGACGAACACGCGCUGGGCCUGCAACGGCAGGAUCCAGGGUCCUUAACGGGAUGUGCGUUAGGGGCUUGUAGCUCAGUUGGUUAGAGCGCGCGCUUGAUAAGCGUGAGGUCGGAAGUUCAAGUCUUCCCAGGCCCACCACUUUCAUCGAGUGAGCAUUCGUCUUCUGGUUACGGGGCCAUAGCUCAGCUGGGAGAGCGCGUGCUUUGCAAGCAUGAGGUCGUCGGUUCGAUCCCGUCUGGCUCCACCAGAUGGUUUGAUCACCGAGAUCUUGACCGUCGUCCGCGAAACAUCACUUCGCAUCCUGCUAGUCUGGAUAGACAGCAGUUUGCGUGUUUUCUGACAUCGUAAAGAGGAGAUCGAUCCGAGUUGGGUCGUGCAGCAUAUCGUUGCGCGAGCCUUCAUUAUCUCCGGAUCAUUUCGGCGCUCGCUUCCAGCCGUGAGGUUGGAUGCGGGUUGUAAAUGAUCCUUUUAGCGAAGCUUGACCGCCUCGCUAUCGGAACGAUCUUACGAAGCAAGCUGGUCUUUCUAGUCAAUGUCCGGCUGCGGAUAGCGUUCAUCGAGGGCGCGUGCCGCAAGGCAAUUCUGCAGACAACAUUCUGCCGAGUGUGUGGACAUUGAUAAUGAGAGCAAUCAAGUGCCUUAAGGGUGUUCGGUGGAUGCCUUGGCGCUGAGAGGCGAUGAAGGACGUGCUACGCUGCGAUAAGCCGUGGGGAGCUGCGAAGAAGCUUUGAUCCGCGGAUUUCCGAUGGGGAAAACCCGGA